GGGCAGAUGGUCUAGUGGGAUGACGCGUCCUUGGCAUGGACGAGACCGCGGGUUCAAUUCCCGCUCUGUCCA
rnacentral:tRNA from 1 species